GUAUCAGGAGCCUGAGUAUCUUGGGAGCUAUGAUUCUUCAAAAAAAAAAAAAAAAGAAUAAGAAAGCCAGUACAUAAUUUGAUCUUGUAGGUGCAGGGAUGCCAGUAAAGCUCAAGUUGGAUUCUGAUCUCUGGGAUCUUAUCAGGACCCUGUUUAUGAAGUACUGAAGCACAUAGAGGCAGCAUUCUCUCAAGCCACCACUCGUCAUUAAGAGCAAGCAAUAUGAGAAGACUUGUGAUUCCUCCUGGAUAUGAGCUGCCCAUAACUACUGACUCACGCUCCACCUAUCAGGCAGAAGUUCCAAAGCUUUUUGAGAUGAUUAGAUUUUUACAGUGGCUGUUUAAUUUCAAUUUCAUUUUCUCUGUGAAUCUUUUUUGCCGUCUGUGUUAAGACAACAAAAAAGUCAUUUUAUUCUCACCAAUGACUAAUGGUUCAUUAUGUAUGAUGAGCAUUUCAUUUUCUCUGCAGUGUUCAAUCAUCACUGUUUAACCUGAGAUGAGCAAGGAUGAGGGAAACAUCGUGCUGUGCUGAAGCACCUCACCUAAGUACUGUUGAAAGGUCCAAUAUAACUUGCAGUGGUGGAGGAAAGCUGCAGUCAGAGGGGUGUCCAUGAAGAAGCAGUUAUCGGCAUUGAGAGCCUGCACCUUGCACUGGAGAGUCAAUUCACACUUCGCCUCUCCUUCAAAACAACAGUCUCAAACUAUUUCUGUAUGUUGUUGAAGUUAUUUACAAGCUCCAUAUUUUACUUCAUUGUCACUUUGUUUGGUGCUAGGCACUCAUUGCUAAAAGUAUGCUCUACACAUCCCAGAGAUCAAUCAGCCGUACUAAUACCGUAUUUUCCGCACUUUAAGGCGCACCGGAUUAUAAGGCGCACCUUCAAUGGAUGGCCCAUUUUAAAACUUUGUCCAUAUAUAAGGCGCACCGGAUUAUAAGGGGCGCCUUCAUGAAUGGCCCAUUUUAAAACUUUGUCCAUUUAUAAGAUAUAUACAUUUGGCCCGCAGGCUGGACUGUGGACACGCCUGCUGUAGUGGCUCAAUAUUGGUCCAUAUAUAAGGCACACCGGAUUAUAAGUCGCACUGUCGGCUUUUGAGAAAGUUGGAGGUUUCAAGGUGCGCCUUAUAGUGUGGAAAAUACGGUACCCAAUUUUUUCAGUUGUGUGGCUAUUGCUGCUCAAAUUAUUUUUUUCACACAAAAUUCACCAAGCAAAAUCAAAAAGUCCAGUGAAGAGAUAUUUUGUGACAUAAAAGAAAAUACUUCAUCAAAAGUGCUGGCUUUAAAGGCCUGUAGGCCAAAUGUGGUCUGCCAUGUAAUUUAAUGUGUCAGGGGGAAGCUUAAAAGACUUCAUUGCCUUAAAAUAAUUAAGUCACAUGCAUUGACCAAGAACUACUUUUCCCACAAUGCAUAAAAUUACGGUAACCGCAAAGUGGCAUCCUUCCAUUUGUAGGCAGCAAAGAAGAUUUUUCAACAGGAAGAAUCGAGAAAUGCAAAUAUGGAGCCGAGUUAUUUCUUAAAAGCAGAUCUGUAAUCAUGAAUAAUGAGGCCUAAAAUGGUCCUGAACUGGAUGAUUUAAUUCAUUCGUUUGCUUGUUCAUUUGUUCGCUUGUUCGUUUGUUCGUUGGUUUGUUUGUUUGUUCGUUCGUUCAUUCAUUUAGUUGCAGGGAUGGCGGUUUAUGCUCUUUACUCUAACAUUCUGGCCCUUAUUAGUGUGUUUGAUGUGGUCAUACUGCUUAAAUAUUAAGCCAAUGACACCACAGUUUAACGUUGGUAUUAAUGGAACAAAUAAAGUUCUAGUUAGCACACAGGCUUUCAAUGGACAUGUUUCGAUUGAACAAACUUAAUUUUCUUCCUUGUUGUCUUCUUGCUACAUGAUGCGUGAAUUCAUAUGGAGUCAUUUUAGAGAAUUUUAUGACGAAAAAAAAUUGCGAGUGUGAAGCUGCACAUUGAACAUCAUUAUUUAAUCACUCAGGUCCCUGUUUUUGUAGACAGCAUGGUACAUUUGACAUAAACACUGUCACAUCCUUAUUUUCAUUCUGGGGUGAAAUCUCGUACGGCGUGUUUGGGAAUUUGGUAGACUGCACUAAGGUACAAGGGUGCUCUGGUGGACCAAGGGCAUUUUCUUUUACAUGCUGCUGGCUCAUCUGAUAUUUAGGUGACAGAAAGUAGACAGGAUUUUUGAUCAGGAAAAUGUUGGUACAGAUGCAAUUUUGGCGGAUUUGAUCGAGCUGCAGGCCACCAGAUUCUGACGUCAGCAAAUGUUUGUGGUGGGUCAUUGUAUUUUAUUUAUAAAUAUGAUAACAGGGUGCACUGAGCCCUCUAAUUCAUAAAAUCUAAUUCAUUAAACGCAUGAUUAGUCUUUUUGCGUUGUUAAGUCCCCACUUCACAGUGGCAUGUGCUAGUGUUGUCAAAAGAACCGAUACUUUCUGCACCAAUUCGGUAAAAACACGCUAAAAAUACGUCGAUACCUGCUUUUUUGUGGUACCGACUACCGAGUAUUUAACUUUUCACUCGAUUCUUGCCGGAACUGAAGGGGGCAGUAUACGCAUGCGAGCAGCAGGUAGUUUCUCAAACGUGAGACAUGUUUGGCAAAAAGAAGACGUCUGGUCACCCUAAACCGGAGCAAUAAUAGAUUCGAACAAGCCAACGUGCAAAAAUUGCUUGAGGGGUUUGAGGCUUGAGAGGCUCCAUGCCAUUGCUGCUCUUUUUCAAUGAAUAUAGUUGAAUAUUGUUAUUUAUUAACAGUCUUGCUAGUUUUCAUAGCUGUACGACUUGAAGGCGCUAUGUCAGUGCUGCUCUUUUUUAAUGUAUAAAGUUUACUACAUGGUUUAAGCAGUUUUAAAUAAAUUUGUGAUUUUAAAAGCGGAUUCUGUUUUUUUGUUGUUUUUUACCAUGGUACCGAAUUAGUAUCGAGAAUUGUGGUAAAUCACAGGUAUUGGUACAGACUACAGAAAUUCUGGUCUUGUGACAUCACAAUCAUUCGCACAGUUAGACUGCUAGACGUGCUGAACAUCAAAAUAGGGCCCACAGUAUUAUGGUAUGGCUUCUUCUGGAGUUGUCAGACAUCAAUCUCUUUAUUUCCUUGGUGAAUCAUAUUUAAAAUAUAACAUAUAUAUAUUACAUUUGACAUGUAGAAAUGCAUUCACCAGACAAGUAGUAAGCAGUGACGGCUACAGCAUUAUCACACAAUGAAACACAGAUAUUAAAAACCAUAUGUUUCUGGGGGACAAACCACAUUGCUUUGAUAACAGCAUGUUUGAAAGAUGGAAAGAUUUCUUUCCCUUUGCCUAGCAUAUCAGCAUAUAUUAAUGACAAGUGCACUCAACACGAGUAGUAUCUGGAGAUAUUGCGUCUAUCUCAAAAGGUUGAAGCAGUGGCUAGAUUAGAGUCUGGUGUGAAUCGAUAAACACUGUCAAACACCUCAGGGGGUCCCCCCAAUUUUCCCACAAACCACUAUAGCCCCCUAGGCAGAGAGAAACAAUGGUGGGGCAUCAAUACCUACAAUUGGGACAAGGUAGAACAGAAGAGACAUCAACCAAAAUCACACAAGUGGGUCAGCUUUCCUCUAGACAGUAAAUGGGUGCGCAAUUGUUUGCAUCAAUUGAAACCUGUGGGAGAUGGAGGACACGAUGGGGAAGGGGUGCCAUUAGAAGUGCAUUGGUAUAGAAGGUGGGUGCUUGGGAGGUGAAUGGGGAGUGGAGGUUUUUAAAGCAAGACGAGAUGGGGGGUAUAGGUGUUUUCAAUUACCGACAAAUUCAGAGCAAUUUCCUCCUCUUUCUGCCCACACCGCCAACUGAGAGGCUGAUGGGAGGCCUGAACAAAGAGGCAUGGAGAUCGCGAUUGUCUGACUGUGGGUUGGUGGGGAGGAGCAGGAGGGGGUUGGUUUUUGUCCAUCUGCCUUGCUCAUCUUUUUUCUGUCACCUUGCUGCUAGGAUUCCCCUUUUUUGUCACUGGCUGCAAACAUGAACAUGUCACAUGUCUGCUCUCCAGUGCCUUGGACAGCGCCCCACUCUUGCUUACAUUGUUCACAGCCACACCUACAAAGUAAUCAGCGCUCAUUGCCUGAUGCCAACUCAUCACUAGACCUGCUCCCGCCUCAUUAACUCUCCUACUUAAACCCGACGUUCCCGUCACUCCUGGUCUGUUCGUCUGGCUUACUAACUGUCGGUUUGUUACCUGUUUCGGCGAUCUGCCUGUUAUACCUGUUCUGACUCCCAUUGUCGACCUUGCUUACAUGUUUGGCCAACCAUUCCUGAACACUGCCCGCACAAACUUUCUGCCAUGAACCGCCUUGAUCGUACUGAGAGGAGGCGUCAGCCAGAUUUCUGGAUAACUCGGUUCAUUAGUUCAGCUAGUGGAGCAACUCCAGAAGCGGCAACAUGUCCCAGGAGCUGGCCCGACUUCUCCAGGCUUAAGUGUUUUAGCCACCCCUCUGCCUCCCCCUCACCUGAACAACUCCUGCCUGGACGUGACACGCUGCUUUUGAUGGCUUCGUAUGCAGUUACUGGACCUGUCUUCUUCACAGCUGCAGCCUCUGGGCCUCUCUCGCUGCCCCGCCAGCUGCAGUUCCCUGCCUUUUUGCCUCAACUGCAGCCUAUGGUCUUGUUCACUCGAUUGCUGCGGUCUCUGAUCUCAUCCUUUUGACAGCUGCAGUACCUUGUCUCGACAUCUGCAGUUCCCUGUCUCGUUGCUUCAACAGCUGUAGCUCCCUGUCUUAUCACUUGGACAGCUGCAAACACCUGUUUUGUCAUUUCGGCAGCUUGAGCACCAAGUCCAGUCUCCACGACAGCUACAGUCCUGACUCCAGUCUCCUCAACAGCUGCAGAUUCCUGUCUCGUCACUUUGACAGUUGCAGGUUUCUGGUUCGUUGCCUUGGCUGUUGCAGCCCCAAGUCCGGUCUCGUCGACAGCCAAUGCAACCUGUGGUCCCGUCGCCUCAGCAACCGCUGCAACAUGCGGUCCCGUCGCCUCAACAGCCGCUGCGACCUGCGGUUCCGUCGCCUCAACAGCCGCUGCCCUGCGGUCCCGUUGCCUCGACUGCUGUGGCCUCCUGGCCCUGCCCUUUGAUAGCCGCCACCCAAUCUUGGUCCAGCAGCACACGUCAGCUUGUGGGUGAUUGACGGCUGUAUCCAAAGUCCGGAACCAAACACAUUUAAAAAAAAAAUAAUCAAAAAUUAUAUUUCUUUGCAGUUAUGUAUCUAAACAUCAGAAACCUCAACACGGACAAUAGUCUCGUCCUCCCUGAUCUUGCACAGUUUGCAACAUGAACAUAUGAAAGGACUGAAAGAAACCUAUAUCAACCAUGUUACUCCCCUUGCUCCCCAACCAAGGAUAUACAUAAGAAUAUUUGGACACUUUAUCAAUUCAGAAACCAAAACUACAAAUCUUUAACAAUGGAUUUGUGCCGUCUAUUUAGUAGUAUCGUAGCGUUCAGUCACAAUUGCAAAACCUUCAAGUAAAUACAAUGUGUGUGGGAACCCAAAUCCCUAAAAAAACAUUUUAUUUCCACUGCAUCAUACACACUCGGUUUGACAAAGCUCUACAUAAAGCAAAUGCUUUCCCACUGUCAAAACCAGGAACUAUGAGGUGCCGUUCUUUCUAUAAUUUUUCCAAUAUGGAACUCCACUUUUUUGCUGCAGUAUUGUUUUUCUUGGUUCCUUCAUUCUUGUUUUGAACAGAAUGUGUCUCUAACCAUGCCAAACAGCAAUUUUAAGCAUGGUAAUUUCUGAAAUGUCUAAGUAAACAUGUGCACUUGCAUUUUUGUGCGGAAAAAGGGCAACUGUA